rnacentral:rRNA from 1 species
UACAGAGGGUGCGAGCGUUAAUCGGAAUUACUGGGCGUAAAGCGCACGUAGUCGGCUUUGCAAGUCGGGUGUGAAAUCCCCGGGCUUAACCUGGGAACUGCAUUCGAGACUGCAUUGCUAGAGUAUGGGAGAGGGAAGUGGAAUUUCCGGUGUAGCGGUGAAAUGCGUAGAUAUCGGAAGGAACAUCAGUGGCGAAAGCGACUUCCUGGACCAAUACUGACGCUCAUGUGCGAAAGCGUGGGGAGCAAACAGGGAU